UGCGAUUCCGCGAUGCUUGCCGCUAAAUUUGUCAAUGAUACACUGACUGAACGCCGCGGGAGGAUCAUCUCCCAAGGGGCCCGCGAACUGUACGAGUUCGAGAGGUUUCCGAGGUAGAGUUUCCGGAAAAACGACGACGAGAUAGUCUGGUACGCCAUCAAAUUGACGGAAAGAGGACAGAGUGUCGUCUUAGUGAGCAACGACAUCAAUGUGAGAACUAAAGCAUUGAUCAACGAUGUCGAGACCUACUCGGCUACAGAGUACGAGAAGAUGGUGGGGUACUGUGGCCCAGAGACACCGAAGCCUCCAGCAAAGACCGCUACUAUAUGGGAUCGGAAGCGCCAUGGAAGUCAAGCUUCGCGCAAACUAUCGCCAGAAGAGAGCUCCAAUAGACCGGAGAGGUCACGAGUUGGGUUGGAUACCACCUCAACUAAACUGAUCGAGAAGAUUAGUUCCUAGAGCUGAGUGAGAAGCGGCAUCGGGAAGUGAUGGACGCUGAAGAACGCCGGCACCAGGAAAAAACGAGAACCCUGCAUAAAGUCAUGAACUCCGUCCGUGAUGAAAAAGAUGCUCAAGGGCACUAAAUAAACGAACGUUGAUGCUGGGGUAGAUCCUUUGCUGCUCCAGCCGUGAUAGUGCGGCCAAAAGGAUGCUAUACGUGA
rnacentral:lncRNA from 1 species